rnacentral:misc_RNA from 1 species
GCUGAAGCUAUUGGUAUCAAACACAAAACAGUGUCUUCUAGGGGAGAUCGAGGUAAAAAGGGAAACCAAGAAACAGAAGUUAGGAUGUUCAAUGAGAAAGCAGAUGAUCUGAUAAGUUCACCAUAUGGCUGCUCUGGAACAGAUCGAUCAAUGGAGUCUUUUUAUCUAGAUGAAGUUCUGGCAAGCAAAUAGGAGUAGUUUAUGUAUCAUGCAUGAUAUGAUGUAUAUGUAGAUCAUUUUUGGCCAUAUUUGUUUCUCUGAUACCUACAGCAGCAUGUAUAGU